UAUCUAUCUACCUGUCAGUAAGAUGUCAGUCAGUCAGUCACCAGUCUAUCAAUCUAUCUAUCUAUCUAUCUAUCUACACCUCACCUAACACCUCCCCGUAUCCCUCAGGUGAUAGACCUCCUGUGAUGGUAACGAGCUGGAGCAAAACGUUACCCUCGACUAUGUGCUGAAUAGUAACGGGACGGCGACGUGCAAGCUGUGUGGGGAACUGCUGCCGUCGCGAAACCACUGGUACCGCCACAAGUACAAGACGCACGCCACGGCCCUCUACCGCUGGCGACGACUGCGGGUGUGGUGUACAAGAGUAAGAAGGGAUACGAAACGCACAUGGAGGUCAAACAUGCAAAGGUGAAGCCAUCGUGCGGGGAGCGGCCCAGGAAGAGGGAUUGGCAGACGGUGAACAAGUCGAUGGAGGAGGCCAAGAGACAGCAGGAGGAAGCCAUGGUGAGUGCCAUCAUCGCCAGAGUAAAGCUGGAGUGUGCCAUGGAGGGCGAGGACUGCUCCAGACGAGGCUACCAGAAGCACUGAGACCAACCCCACCACCACCACCAUCACCACUACCACCACUCCGACCAACGCACGGUGAAGGGAGAAGCGGAGAAGCAAGAGUACAACGAGGAGGAGGAAAAAGAGUGUGAAGAGGCUCAGUACACGUGAUAUGAAAAGACAUGGAAGGAAAACUGCGCAUCUUCGGAAAAUGAAAAGAAAAAAUAGGAAGGAAAUAAAGGAAAAGGCUAAGAUGAAAACUUAACAGCUUCUCCCAUACCACAUCCAGUUGUAUAAUAAGAGAAAUGGGAGUGACAUACGAAACUUAAGGACAGAAGUACGUGUCGUAAAAAUUAAAAUAGUAAUGAAGAUGGAGUGAACUUAUAUUUAUGUACAGUAAAUAUGAAAAAAAAAGAAGGAAAGCGUAACAGAAAAUGAAGAAUAGAAGCAUAAAAGAAAAAGAUGCGUGCAAAUGAAAGAUGAAAAAGAAGAAAAAAGUGAUCAUUAGUGUCAAAGAAGAGCAGAAAGAGAGUAAUGAAAAGGAGUGAAUGAAUGGAAAAGAUGAAAAAAUGAAUAAACGAAAAUAUGAACACGAAAAUUUAGGAAAAAAAACUCAUGAUAAAUAAAAUGAACACGUAAAGUGAGAAAAUCAGAAAUGAAAGAGAAGGAGGAGGAGGAGGAGGAAGAGGAGGAUAUAGGAGGAGAAGGAGAUGGAGAAGAAGUAGGAGGAAGAAGAAGAAGAAGAAGAAGAAGAAGAAGAAGAAGAAGAGGAGGAGGAGGAGGAGAAGGACCACAGCGCGGAGUGAUAAACCAGAGGCCGACAAAUCAUAAUAUAGUGUACAUACUGAAGUAGAGAUAAGUGUGUGUGUAUGCGUGUGUAUGUGUGUGUGUGUGUGUGUGUGUGUGUGUGUGUGUGUGUGUGUGUGUGUGUGUGUGUGUGUGUGUGUGUGUGUGAUGGUCGGGGUGUAGGAAGAGGAACGUAGGAGUGACACAAGUGGUGAUAUAAAACUGUGUAUAAUGAACAAUACUAAGUGGAGGAUGGAAGUUCUGUACACAACGCUUAAGCACUUCAUGAUAACAGGCAGCACGAGACGAUAACAAGACCACAAACAGAACAGGAAACAAUCAGCACAAAGAGAAGAGCAAAAAAAAACAAACAAACAAGGGAACAGAGCGUUGCAGAACAAAUUAAGAAGAAAACGGCAAAACGGAGCAAUUUCAUUAAACUCAAAGCAAAAAAAAAAAAUAUAUAUAUACACGAGGUGCUGCCCUUCCUUAACAAUAACAAUAAUAAUAAUGAUAAUGCCAAUAACAACAAUGAUAAUAGGUCCAAAAAUCAUCCAAUAACUCAAAAACAGCAGACAUAGUUACCAAGCAGCGAGGUUUUCUUUCUCACUCUCACAAGGAGGAGGAAAGACACCACACAGCGAGACAGCGAGACAGAACAGCCUAAGCCCAAGCCAAACACAUGCAUAAUGAACUCCGAACAGAAGAAGUCAAAGGAGGAAACAUAAGGAAAGAGAAAGACUGGAAAAAAGAACGCACCUCAUAAUUAAAAGGCAGUUAUCUUAUGAAACAAUGAGUGAUCGCGUGAAUGAAGCAAGGAGGAGGAAGAGCAACAGACCUAAACAACGAAUAGUAAGGCGAGUUACAACGUGGCAUCACCUCUCGCCCUCCCUCCCACAGCCGUGAGACGCUCAGAGGGAGGAAGGCGGGGAGGCGACACUGCGCAGCCCGCCCUCUACAGGAUUCCUCCCGCGCACACCACCACAACAGGACACGCCAAUGCAGCAAGACCACAUGAACUCCACAGAAACCAUAAGAACGAUCUCCGUACACUGCUGCCCUGACGAACACAGCAGUGACGUGCAGACCAUGCCUGACCCAAUACAGCGGGUCACACGUCGCCGUUAGCACGCGCCACAGCAGCAGUAGUUUGUUACUCGGCGACUCCCACAAGACCAAAGCAAGACAACAACAGUGUCACUAUAUUCACCACAGGGCUUUUUUUGUUUCCUCUCUCCAAAUCCUCAGGGCUUUCCUCUCUGUCCUGUCCUAUCCUGAAGAAAGAUGAAGCGAUAGAGACAAACGUCGAGAGGCAGCGCACGGUACAAGGCAGCCAACUGAGCAGUAUUUCCUCAAGUAUCACUCCAGCGCGUGGGCUCAACCCCAGGUGUUUGUACUAAUUACCGGUAACCUGUUUAGCGAUAAGGGAACUGCCCCGCCGCCAUAAUAAUACCUCAGACACUAGUGAAAGGCUCGCAGUGGCGUAAGUAGUGUAGGUUGGGGCGCCACACCCCGAGGCGCGCCCAAGCCUCGCCAGCCCCGGACCAGCUGCUGCCGCGGUGCCGGCACGUGUGUGUGUCUGUGUGUGCUCGCGUGUCGCACCCCAGCCUGCCCCGAGUCCCGCGAGGCUCACAGUGGGCGAGAAAGAAGGGCGGUGUGGCUGAACUGAAGGCAGCAGCAGCAGCAGCAGCAGCAGGCUGGCGGGGUGACGCUGACGGGGCGCCCCGACCCCGACGAACCGACAAACUGUAGCUCUACUGAACAUUAUAUAAACUCUGGUGCUCCUCAUGUCCAAUUUCUUAUUAACGACUACCCCGUUUACUAUACAAAACAUGGUCAAACCUUUUUCUCGGUAGAAUAGAAGAAAUUUCCAGGUUUUUCAUCAUCCAUUUUAGGUGAUAACAUAUAUAUAUUUUUCCCGCUUGCUGUGACUGUGUGUUCAAGAAUAUUGUGCGUUUCUUCAUCUCGAUGUGUUAAAAGAUCAUUGUCAUGGCAAAACAAACCCCUUUCGGGAGAUUCUCUUAUCGAAUAACAUUUAUUUAGGGUUAAGGUGAUCCACGUGACUCGAGUGGUCGGUCUUUGGUUUCCUUCUCGUCCCCGGGUGGCCGCGCCUCGGGUGCAGUUUGUACAUCAACGAAUUCUCAUUAACAUUUUGUAUUCUCGCGAGUAUACAUAUAUACACAUAGGUUUUUUGCCCCAUUUAUAAUAGCUAUCAACAUUAUUAACUUUUAAACAACUUUUUGGCUUCACGACUAACUUUGAAAGGUUAUAUAUAAAUAAUACUAAUGCUAAUGAUAGUAAUAAUAUAAUUAUUAUUAAUGGUAAGUGGCGGUGGGCGGUGCGUGUCUAUCUGUGAUGAGCGCCCUCCGCGGACCGCGAGUGAUAGUGAUCUCAAUACCAAAGACGCCCUAAAAUUAUCCUUUUUUAUCAUUAUAUAUACAAACGAUUAUUGCAGAGUGUAUAUACGUUAUUAUAGGUAUUGAUAGAGAGUACCAAGCCCUCAGUUCAAAGGUGAAGGUUCAAAUUACGUUGGUAUAUUUGUUUUAGCUUCUAAUGAGAAUAGUUUUUAUAUAUGUAUAUUAUAUAAUAUUAUGAUGACGAGUUGCGACACUACGUAAGUUUUCUCCUGAUUCUGCUGUUUACGCUUCACACACACACACACACACACACACACACACACACACACACACACACACACACGAGGACGGAGCUCAUUUAUCCCUUACUUCUACUAUUAUUACUAUUACUGCCAAUAAUUACAUAUAUUAAAAGAUACUUUUAAUAAUAUCUUUUUAAUUCUACACUUCUACCAUUAGAACACUAUUACUAAAACAUCUACUACUACUACUACUACUACUACUACCUCAAGCACUGUUAAUUCCAGCACUCUCACCACCACCACCACCACCAUCGCGUCUCGCUGAGCAUCAGGUCUAUAGACACACCCUCAGAAGUUCCCGGUCCCUUACGCCUGCCUCGCGUCCCUGCUUUCCUUCCAACACUCUCCUAAUACACACCUCGCCGCCGCCGCCGCCGCCGCCGCCCCCUUCACGCGCGUCUCCAAAGCAAUGUACAAGAAACAGUCAAUGUAUUCGCGUUCAUUAUCAGGGAAUCUAAUUUAGCUGUAUGGGUUUCGCGUUCUUUGCCAGUAACUAUCGUGGGAAUGUUUAAUAAGAAUCCGAAUCGUGACCACAAAAUACUGGCAUCCGUAUUUUUUUGUUCACAUACGUGUCACUUCAUAAAGAAAAUGUGCUAUCCGAAUAUUUUCAAAUCUUAUGGACAAGAUCUCUGCCGAUUUAUGAUAAUGAUUCAAAUCUGCUAGUUUUACGAUAAAUUGAAAUGAUAAAUACGAGUAGCUACACUGCCUUCCAUAUAGUCCUGCUCACUCCAGUUACGUAUUAAAACCUCAGAAACUACCUAAUUAAGAUGCUAUAACUCAUGAAUCGCUACCUAUUCAACCUUCACCUCGCAGUAAGAUUAUUACUCUACCCUACAUUAACAUUCUCCACCACGUGCUCUGAGGCUAAUGAGACGGAGGUGAGCGCAGAGACAACGUGCAGUAAUAGCGUGUACCUCCAACUUUACUUUCCCAUAUCACAAAGCGGUAUUUAGUUAACAAGCCUCUCAUUAUCAUUCUAGCAACAACAGUGUGGGUAGGCAGAAGGCAGGCAGGCUCGCUCCCCUCACCACAAGACAGUUUUCCUGCUUCCUGAUGCUUGGCAGUACCUCCACACACAACACACACACACACACACACACACACACACACACACACACACACACACACACGUUCACGGGUCAUGUACUUCCAGGAGGAACUAAGGAAGUAUCUCAACAGAUCACUAUACUCUCCUCCUCCUCCUCCUCCUCCUCCUCCUCCUCCUCCUCCUCCUCACAAAACACACCAGCACACAUGAACACACUCGCCUCAGCAGUGCCGGGAUGGGCGAUGAAGCAUUGCAGCUCAGUGAAAACAAAGUUACAGCUGGUAAUUGUCAUAAUCUUACGAAAAUUGUCGAUCUCUGGGCGAGGAAGACAUUAGUAUUUCACUGGUACUGGUGUAACUUAAAUUACUUACUGGUCUACCUCUGGUUUGUACUGGUCCAUUUUAAAUUCCUGAAGCGUGUCGUAAACUUCUUAAUUAUCUACAGAAUCAUCAGGAAUCCGUGAAUAAACUAGAUGACAAUGGAUACUCUGUGUGAUGUAAAGAUCUGCAAAGCGAUACGCCCAGCCAAUCUCUGAGGGACGAGUGAACAACAGCUACACACAUUCUUCUCCAUCCCAACGCGAGUGUCAGGGAGGAAAGCAGCCCGCUGAUGUUGAACCGUAGAUGAAAACUCUCGAAUUCACUCUUGUAGUCUUUUUAUUUUCAUCUACCGUCAGUCUUGUAAAAAUAAAAUCUGGUAUUAUAAUUUUGUAAUUCAAUAAAGCUAAUAUAAUGUUAAAUACACGAAUUAGGUGUCAGCGGCGCCUCUCCCUGCCACGUAUUUUCUCUCUCUCUCUCUCUCUCUCUCUCUCUCUCUCUCUCUCUCUCUCUCUCUCUCUCUCUCUCUCUCUCUCUCUCUCUCUCUCUCUCUCUCUUUCCUCGUCUGUUGCCAUACGCUUGGUACAAAUGAGUUCUCGAUAGACUUGUUUAAUCAAUGGUGGAGUAAAAAAAAAUAAAUAAAACGCCGGGUAACAAAUUAUUAUUAUCAUAGUAUUGCAUCAUAUUUUGGAGUGUGUGUAUUGUAAGCCUCAAGUAUGUGUGCGAGAGAGAGAGAGAGAGAGAGAGAGAGAGAGAGAGAGAGAGAGAGAGAGAGAGAGAGAGAGAGAGAGAGAGAGAGAGAUAGAGAUAGAGAUAGAGAUAGAGAUAGAGAUAGAGAUAGAGAGAGAGAGAGAGAGAGAGAGAGAGAGAGAGAGAGAGGCAAGAUGUCAGUCCUGUGUUUGUUUGGUGUGAAUGUUGUUUACCUUGCCGCGCUCUUUGUUGUUAUUCGUUUCACCGCCGCCAGACAGACAGACAGACCCACACCUGUGUUAUUUCCAUGAAUUGCUGAGUGUUCGUACUACAUUAAUGUGUUCAUGUACGUAUGUAGGCUAUAUGUAUGCAUCCUCGCGACAUACACGACUACUACUACUACUACUACCACUACUACUACCACUACUACUGUUACUGCUCCUCUACAUUGCCGUACAUGCUUACAUACAUGCAGCAAAGUCAAGCCCUUGUAAUGUAUAUUUUAUAACUAUUAUGUUGUUUCCCUUGAGUUGUUCGCGACUCGGUUGUUUGCGAUGCAUGUGUAAAAUGUAUACAAAUCUGUCUCUCCUUCCCUCCUGAGUUUCGACGAGUGAUAAGGAAGAUGGGGAGACAAGAGCAGGGACUCCCGGUGACCGACCCGUCUCGCCGCAGGUUUGUGACACGAUACAAUCAGACGAAGCUUUAAUUCACCGCGGCGAGACCUGCGCGUCCAGAGACAGGGUCAGUCAGGUCAGGGAGUGGUCAGUCACUUCUAGUCCCAUUCAGUACCUUUGUUUUUCCUUUUCUGUCGAAUCAAAAUCUUACGUAAGAAUCGUGUUUGUUAUAAGCGUUACUCAGCUGGUGUGACCGGCGUUACUGUUAAGCGCGGGUGGCGGCGAGACGGCAGGGCGCUGGUGGCGUGUGCUGUGUACUGUCCCCAGGCCCGCCACGCCCCCAGCCACGCCUCGCCCCCCCCGCUGUUCAUACCUCAUGUUUUCUUGGCACCUCACAGCGAAGGCACCAUCAUGCCCUCACACCAUCAUGCCCUUCACACCAUCAUGCCCCUCACAGCCUCUCCUCCUCCAGCACUUCAUGCUCCUCAGCCUCACACUCAAAAUUCUUGCCCCAAUACAGCUUUUUCAUGUCCUCAGCGGCACCACCACCACCACCACCACCAUCAGCUUCAUUCAUUCACCUACUUCAUUCUCACAUCCUCUGUGCAUUGUAUUUUCUUCCUGCGUUUUUUUUUUUUUUCUGUUUAGAAUAAUGAAUAAUAAUGAAAUUGAGUGAUUAGAACCUUUUUUUCUAUUCACUUACAGGAGACAGGAACUAAACGGUUACCUAAUUCUGCGAUCCCCCCCACCCCUUCCCCUCGCCACUAUAAAGUUCUAACUAAGUCAGCUGCCCUUACGAUAUAAAAGCAAAAACAGUGGUUGAACGAAUCUAAAUAAAAAAAAACAUAAAAAAAGGUGGUGACGAGGAUCAACCAUUCCCUCAGAGGAUUGGUAUCUAGUUAGUUGUAAUCUCUGGUUUACCCUUUUUGCAUACGUACAAGUUUUCUGAAGUUAAGACACGCAAGAUAAAGUAUUACGGCCCCGCUAUUGUCACUGAAGGUUUGAAUUAUGAGGAGACAGUAACGAUCAUUAAGGAGCCUAGUGGCUGUUAGCAUCAAAUUAGAAUCCAAGUUAUGUGUUCAUGUACGAUUAGGAUCUUAAUUACCCAGGGAGUACUCAAGUCCAUCUGGUUGUUCGAAAGCCGGUUUUCUUCACCCGCUCGUCCAGUUUUCAGUCGUUAGUCUUCCCCGCCACGAGCCUCAACCUCCCUCGCUCCCAAAUCCCUUCCGCUUGUUCAGAAAUUUCCCUUUCCGCCUCCCCGCAUCAGCUGUUCCCCCUUCCCUCGUACUUACCGCGUCAAGAUUCGUCUUUUCUACAUUCGCUUCACUGCCCUCACCUGUCCCUAGUCCCCCUCCGCUAGCAAAGUCGGUCCCUUCCCACACUCGCUCUCCACUAGCUCGGUAGUUCAGUAGUCUACCUUUUUUCCGCCAUUUAACCCUUAAUAAACCUUCUCCACACGGCCUUCUGUUACAGUCUAUCAUUUGUUAAUACUGAUCAGUGCUCGAUGAAUGCGACACAUACACGACAAGCAAUUAGGAGCCGAGGUCUGAGUGCGCAGUAAUGCAACACUCCUCGCUGAGCCUAACAAGAACCAUCAAAUGCGCUAAUUUUCCAAGUACCUGCUCAAUUGACCUCGAAUUAGCCCCAAGAAGCAACCAGCACCAGUACUCACCUCUGAGAAGUGCUCAGGAACACCCCAGCAAGCGCCACGCAGCACAGGAGGGCCAGGCACACGCGGGGAGGCGGAGGAAGGUGGUUACGUGACACCCUCAGCAUCGGCAGCCACUCACACCUCUCUCUAGCACACACUCGUCCCUUCUCACGCCUACUGUUAUUCUUAGAGUGCUGGAUUCUUGUAUACUGAGGCACGAGUAUCCGGAAAGCCCCAAAAGUCACACUAAUACAAGAGAUAAGUGUAGCACAGAAUUAGAUCACCACUUCACCACGCGACCCGCCAGCCAAAUAGCCCACCGGCUGGUACCCUCCUCUGCCGUAAUCUCGGACCCACAUCAUCGUACCGCAUGUCAGUCAUCUUUUAACGUUCCUGAAUUAUGUUCGCCGAUUCCAGUACGCGUUAAUUAUUCACUCGAACUGUACAAUAAUAAAACAGUAAGGAUAUUGCUAAAAAGAAGCCCAGAUUUACCUUCCUGAGAUACAUACGAGCUAGUGCAGAUUACCCAAUUAUCACAGGACGCCGCUGCCUCAAGAUGAUUAUCAAGUCUCCAGUAAGAAUCCUUAUUGCAACAUGAACAAACUGAAAAACAAGGACAGAAAAUAAAAAAAUAAAUAAAUAAAAAAAAACCAGGGCACUGUUCUGAGUUUGCCACGACAAUCAGCUUAAGUGACAUGGGUAAAUUAGUUCAGCAAGAUGACGCAGUUCUCCUUAUUCCGCUGCAUAGUGACUCCACCGCGUUACUUCGUGUUGACUCUUCGCUAUCAUAUUCUGAAACACUUCUGCGCCGCACCUCCACUACAUUCAAAAGUCUCUAGAUGAUGCUACCCGAGUAUUUAAGAACGUUUUUAUGGUUCUCCUGAAAGAUUAACAAGAUUUCUAGAUUACUAACAGAGGAAACACUCUUUAGAACCCGACUAAUCAUCUCAGUGGCCUUUGAUAAGUCGUGGUGAAGGGGCAAGGCGUCUCAGAAUACCUACCUUCCUCUCUACAUCUGUUCACGCUCCCAUCACGCACACUUCAGGUCCCUAGUGAUCUUAAUGCACAGACGCACACACAUAAUCAUCAUCGGUGCCGCUUGAAUGUAGUAAGCAUGAGGACAAAAAUACCUAUCACGUCAUUUGUAAACUAUGAUAUACUUCUAUUACCAUUAUUAUUACUGUUAUUACUUCUAGGGUUCAUUCUACUGCUUACUUGUUUUCUUUCUUCUCUUCACCUGAUUCCUUACUUAAAAGCUGCUACUACUACUACUACUACUACUACUACUACUGUUACACUUGUUUCAUUAGUUAACUUGUUUCCUUCCUCUUUAUACCCCAAUUAUACUACUACUACUACUACUACUACUACUAAUCUUAUACUUGUUUUAUUAUUUCCUGUAUAGAAAUGUACUUGUUUUCACCUCUCCCUCGCCCACAGGACUUCUUAAUGGCUGACGCACCGCUUAACACUCACACACUCAUUGAACCCCCUCACUCAUUCACUUCACUCACUCCCUCUCCCUCGCCAGAUCUCCCGGUGUCCUGAGCGCAUGGGGUAAAACUAAAUAAAUAAAUAAAUAAAUAAAUAAAUAAAUAAAUAAAUAAAUAAAUAAACUCGCGUUACGUAACAAUGAAGGACGUACCUGUGAGUGGCGACACCUGAGUACACGCGGCUCAGGUGUGUGUGUGUGUGUGUGUGUGUGUGUGUGUGUGUGUGUGUGUGUGUGUGUGUGUGUGUGUGUGUGUGUGUGUGUGUGUGUGUCGCCACGAGGGACGCUUGUGCUUGUUUGUCUCUUUGUUGGUGUGACGCCAUCCCUCCCCCACCUCCAGUCUGUGAGAGGGGAGGGGGGGAAGGGGGGGACUCGGCAACAGCAGCAGCAGCAAAAGCCGAGUUCAGAAAAUAAAUAAAUUAAGAAAAAUAAAAAUAAAUAAAAGUAAAAAAAAGGUACCACUGUUGUAUAAUAUUGAUAUAAUCCUAUUGACUGAUUCGCCUAUUGUCAUAUUUAUAUUUCGUCAUCCGUCGUGUUUUAUGAAGGUAUUAUAUUAUUGACACUUUGUAUAAUAUCACGUUGUUAUUUUUCACCUUUUUUUUCCCGUCUCUGGUGAAUAGAUGAAUAAAAUAGUCGAUAUUUUUUUUUUUUUUCGGGGGCAAGUGUUUGUGUUGUUGUCUUUUCUUACUUUUUUUUUCAGAUUGUUGUUGUUUUCUAAUCGUCCAUUCUCAUUUCACUCAUUCGACGAUUUCAAGAAUCAAACGCCAUUCCAUUCAUUCAUCUCAAAUUUUUUGGUCUCCUUCUGUCUCCCUCCCUCCCUCCCUCCCUCCCUCCCUCCCUCCCAUAUCCAUUCACUCACUCACUCACUCACUCAUUCACUCACUCACUAUUUUAUUUUCUGUCCCUACCGUCCUCUCCCUCCUUCACACUCACUCUAUUUCAACUCCUCGCUGAAAAACAACAGAAGCGAAUCUGCCAACCAGUCAGUUAAGAGUAAAAAAAAAAAAAAAAAAAUGGGUAAAAACAACACACACACUCACACACGCACAUACAAUAGUUUUCCAGGCUUGUCAGGAAAGAGAGCGAGAAAAAAAAUGAAAAACAAAAGGCAAACAAACCACAUAACAGUGACACACAAACACACACAAACAAACAAACAAACAAACAAACUCUCACACUGACACGUCUACUAUGUGACAUCCUUAUUUUUUUCUCCCUUUGUUUUUUUUUUUCUUUUUUUCACUUCGAUCUGGGAAAAAAAUAACAAUAAAAAGAUGUAUAAGUGUGUUCCUCAUUUUGAAAAACGUGUUUGUGUUAUGUCAUCUCCUCCCACAACCCUCACAACACACACACACCUUUCCCUGGAUCAUUACCUCACCUUCUUCCUCCUCCAACCCUUCCCUUCCCUCCCUUCUCUCCAUCCCCCCGUCCCUCCCUCCCUCCCUCCCUCCCUGCCCUAGUCCUACGCCUCAUAAGGAAGGGCAAAGGCAGGUUAAUAUAUUAUAGCGUGUCUCGCCAAGUCAGAUUUUUUCUAUUCUACUCUAUGUGACGAAUACUCAAUAAAUAAACUCUGGAAAUAUG